rnacentral:rRNA from 1 species
CCUACGGGUGGCAGCAGUAGGGAAUAUUGCUCAAUGGGGGAAAGCCUGAAGCAGCAAAGCCGCGUGGAGGAUGAAGGUUUUCGGAGUGUAAACCCCUUUUGUUAGAGAAGCUAAUGAAGGUAUCUAACGAAUAAGCACUGGUUAAUUCCGUGCCAGCAGCCGCGGUCACACGGAAGGUGCAAGCGGUACUCCGGAUCACUGGGGGUUAAGGGCGCGUAAGUUGGAUAGAAAGUCAGGUGUGAAAUACUAGGGCUUAACCAUAGAACUGCAGUUGAAACUGUUGUUCUAGAGUGUGGGAGAAGUAUGUGGAAUGCGUGGUGUAGGGGUGAAAUGCAUAGAGAUCAAGAAGAAUACUGAUUGCGAAGGCAGCCUACUGGAGCAUAACUGACGCUGAAGCACGAAAGCGUGGGGAGCGAACAGGAUUAGAUACCCCAGUAGUC